rnacentral:rRNA from 1 species
GUGAGUCAUCGAGUCUUUGAACGCAACUUGCACCAUCCAGAGAUGGAUGGUAUGUCUGUUUGAGUACGACAACCGUAAUGCGCUUCGGUGCGAUGUGGCCCGCAUGGUGGGCUGAAAAUGAGCCAGUCAGGCUGGACGGUCUGGCAGUGUGCUAGGGACUUGGGGGUGUGGGAGUGGGAGGUGCGUGUGGGCGUGGAUGCGAAUACAGUGCAUUUUUCACUGUGCACUAAUCCACGCUGCACGCAAUGCCACUCGCAUGCUCACUGUCUUGUCGCUGCCGGCGCCAACCAGCCUCAUAUCAUCUAUCACGUCUCAAAUCAGGCAAGAAGACCCGCUGAACUUAAGCAUAUCAAUAAGCGGAGG